UACGUAGGGUGCAAGCGUUAAUCGGAAUACUGGGCGUAAAGCGUGCGCAGGCGGUUGUGCAAGACCGAUGUGAAAUCCCCGGGCUUAACCUGGGAAUGGCAUUGGUGACUGCACGGCUAGAGUGUGUCAGAGGGGGGUAGAAUUCCACGUGUAGCAGUGAAAUGCGUAGAGAUGUGGAGGAAUACCGAUGGCGAAGGCAGCCCCCUGGGAUAACACUGACGCUCAUGCACGAAAGCGUGGGGAGCAAACAGG
rnacentral:rRNA from 1 species